AUGUCAUUUUUGUCCUCAUCGAAUCCUCAUGUAUAUUUUUUGUUCUAUGUCAUUAUUCUUUCUCUCGCAGUAUGUUCAGUUCAAGGUGAUCUUGAUCCAGUAACAAAAAGAAGUAAUUUUAUUGCAAGUCCAGUAUAAAAUAGUUUCAUAUUAACUCAUACAUAUUUUAGGAAGUGUUCUCUCUUCUGAAGUAAAUUGCGCUUGACAUGGAGUACUCCCAAAUAUUCGCUUAUUUGAUAUUGAAAACGCUAAAUCACAGAGCAUCGAAACGAAAAUAAAGGAUACUCCGUAAUGGAAGGUUCCUCAAAUAUUCAUUCAUUCGCUCUAUCUUGUAGAUAUCCAUUUCAAAUAUUGUACAUGUUUCGAAAGUAUAGUGAAUGAUUCCAAAAACGAAUGCAUCUGAUUAAUUUUCAGCUGAUACUGUUUAUGUUUACCUUUUGUGAAAAGUUAAAUUAUAUGUCAAGAAGGACGGGGGAAAUUGAAUUAUUAGCUGUUUUGCGAGUUUUGGGUAUUUUCCGUCACUUUGCAAUCUGACGGCUAUUAUUAAACUGGACACAUGAAAUCGAAUCUGUCCAUA